GAUGAACGCUGGCGGCGUGCCUAAUACAUGCAAGUCGAGCGAACGGGUGAUAAGCUUGUUGCUGUGAAGUUAGCGGCGGACGGGUGAGUAACACGUGGAUAACCUAUCUAUACGACCGGGACAACUGCGGGACACCGGAGCUAAUACCGGAUGCUAUGUUGAAACGCAUGGUCCAAAAGUGAAAGACGGUCUUGCUAUGACUUAUCGACGGAUCCGCGCCGCAUUAGCUAGUUGGUAAGGCAACGGCGUAACAAGGCAACGAUGCAUAGCGGAGUUGAGAGGGUGAGCGGCUACACGGGAACAGAGAAACGGUGCAAACGCCCACAGGAGGCAGCAGGAGGGAAGCUACCAAAAUUGGUGAAAGCCUGACAUACCGACGCCGCAUGGGUGAUGAAGGUCUGCGGAUCUUAAAACUCUGUUACUAUGUAGGAACAUAAAUAUAACUAACUGUGCACGACAUGACGGUACCUAAUCAGAAAGCCCCGGCUAACUACGUG
rnacentral:rRNA from 1 species